CUGUCGUCAGCUCGUGUUGUGAAAUGUUGGGUUAAGUCCCGCAACGAGCGCAACCCUUAUCCUUUGUUGCCAGCGGUCCGGCCGGGAACUCAAAGGAGACUGCCAGUGAUAAACUGGAGGAAGGUGGGGAUGACGUCAAGUCAUCAUGGCCCUUACGACCAGGGCUACACACGUGCUACAAUGGCGCAUACAAAGAGAAGCGACCUCGCGAGAGCAAGCGGACCUCAUAAAGUGCGUCGUAGUCCGGAUUGGAGUCUGCAACUCGACUCCAUGAAGUCGGAAUCGCUAGUAAUCGUGGAUCAGAAUGCCACGGUGAAUACGUUCCCGGGCCUUGUACACACCGCCCGUCACACCAUGGGAGUGGGUUGCAAAAGAAGUAGGUAGCUUAACCUUCGGGAGGGCGCUUACCACUUUGUGAUUCAUGACUGGGGUGAAGUCGUAACAAGGUAACCGUAGGGGAACCUGCGGUUGGAUCAC
rnacentral:rRNA from 2 species